UUAAGCGACUAAGCGUACACGGUGGAUGCCCUGGCAGUCAGAGGCGAUGAAGGACGUGCUAAUCUGCGAAAAGCGCCGGCGAGGUGAUAUGAACCUUUGACCCGGCGAUGUCCGAAUGGGGAAACCCAGUGUGUUUCGACACACUAUCGUUAACUGAAUACAUAGGUUAACGAGGCGAACCGGGGGAACUGAAACAUCUAAGUACCCCGAGGAAAAGAAAUCAACCGAGAUUCCCCCAGUAGCGGCGAGCGAACGGGGAGCAGCCCAGAGUCUGAAUCAGCUUGUGUGUUAGUGGAACGGUCUGGAAAGUCCGGCGAUACAGGGUGACAGCCCCGUACACGAAAAUGCACAGGUUGUGAACUCGAAGAGUAGGGCGGGACACGUGGUAUCCUGUCUGAAUAUGGGGGGACCAUCCUCCAAGGCUAAAUACUCCUGACUGACCGAUAGUGAACCAGUACCGUGAGGGAAAGGCGAAAAGAACCCCGGCGAGGGGAGUGAAAAAGAACCUGAAACCGUGUACGUACAAGCAGUGGGAGCACCUUCGUGGUGUGACUGCGUACCUUUUGUAUAAUGGGUCAGCGACUUAUAUUCUGUAGCAAGGUUAACCGUAUAGGGGAGCCGAAGGGAAACCGAGUCUUAACUGGGCGUUAAGUUGCAGGGUAUAGACCCGAAACCCGGUGAUCUAGCCAUGGGCAGGUUGAAGGUUGGGUAACACUAACUGGAGGACCGAACCGACUAAUGUUGAAAAAUUAGCGGAUGACUUGUGGCUGGGGGUGAAAGGCCAAUCAAACCGGGAGAUAGCUGGUUCUCCCCGAAAGCUAUUUAGGUAGCGCCUCGUGAACUCAUCUUCGGGGGUAGAGCACUGUUUCGGCUAGGGGGCCAUCCCGGCUUACCAACCCGAUGCAAACUACGAAUACCGAAGAAUGUUAUCACGGGAGACACACGGCGGGUGCUAACGUCCGUCGUGAAGAGGGAAACAACCCAGACCGCCAGCUAAGGUCCCAAAGUCAUGGUUAAGUGGGAAACGAUGUGGGAAGGCACAGACAGCCAGGAUGUUGGCUUAGAAGCAGCCAUCAUUUAAAGAAAGCGUAAUAGCUCACUGGUCGAGUCGGCCUGCGCGGAAGAUGUAACGGGGCUAAACCAUGCACCGAAGCUGCGGCAGCGACGCUUAUGCGUUGUUGGGUAGGGGAGCGUUCUGUAAGCCGUUGAAGGUGUGCUGUGAGGCAUGCUGGAGGUAUCAGAAGUGCGAAUGCUGACAUAAGUAACGAUAAAGCGGGUGAAAAGCCCGCUCGCCGGAAGACCAAGGGUUCCUGUCCAACGUUAAUCGGGGCAGGGUGAGUCGACCCCUAAGGCGAGGCCGAAAGGCGUAGUCGAUGGGAAACAGGUUAAUAUUCCUGUACUUGGUGUUACUGCGAAGGGGGGACGGAGAAGGCUAUGUUAGCCGGGCGACGGUUGUCCCGGUUUAAGCAUGUAGGCGGAACGAUUAGGUAAAUCCGGUCGUUUUUUAACGCUGAGGUGUGAUGACGAGGCACUACGGUGCUGAAGUAACAAAUGCCCUGCUUCCAGGAAAAGCCUCUAAGCAUCAGGUAACACAAAAUCGUACCCCAAACCGACACAGGUGGUCAGGUAGAGAAUACCAAGGCGCUUGAGAGAACUCGGGUGAAGGAACUAGGCAAAAUGGUGCCGUAACUUCGGGAGAAGGCACGCUGAUAUGUAGGUGAAGCCCCUGCGGGUGGAGCUGAAAUCAGUCGAAGAUACCAGCUGGCUGCAACUGUUUAUUAAAAACACAGCACUGUGCAAACACGAAAGUGGACGUAUACGGUGUGACGCCUGCCCGGUGCCGGAAGGUUAAUUGAUGGGGUUAGCGGCAACGCGAAGCUCUUGAUCGAAGCCCCGGUAAACGGCGGCCGUAACUAUAACGGUCCUAAGGUAGCGAAAUUCCUUGUCGGGUAAGUUCCGACCUGCACGAAUGGCGUAAUGAUGGCCAGGCUGUCUCCACCCGAGACUCAGUGAAAUUGAACUCGCUGUGAAGAUGCAGUGUACCCGCGGCAAGACGGAAAGACCCCGUGAACCUUUACUAUAGCUUGACACUGAACACUGGUCCUUGAUGUGUAGGAUAGGUGGGAGGCUUUGAAGCGUGGACGCCAGUCUGCGUGGAGCCGACCUUGAAAUACCACCCUUUAAUGGCUGGUGUUCUAACGUAGACCCGUGAUCCGGGUUGCGGACAGUGUCUGGUGGGUAGUUUGACUGGGGCGGUCUCCUCCCAAAGAGUAACGGAGGAGCACGAAGGUUAGCUAAUCCUGGUCGGACAUCAGGAGGUUAGUGCAAUGGCAUAAGCUAGCUUGACUGCGAGAGUGACGGCUCGAGCAGGUGCGAAAGCAGGUCAUAGUGAUCCGGUGGUUCUGAAUGGAAGGGCCAUCGCUCAACGGAUAAAAGGUACUCCGGGGAUAACAGGCUGAUACCGCCCAAGAGUUCAUAUCGACGGCGGUGUUUGGCACCUCGAUGUCGGCUCAUCACAUCCUGGGGCUGAAGUAGGUCCCAAGGGUAUGGCUGUUCGCCAUUUAAAGUGGUACGCGAGCUGGGUUUAGAACGUCGUGAGACAGUUCGGUCCCUAUCUGCCGUGGGCGCUGGAGAAUUGAGGGGGGCUGCUCCUAGUACGAGAGGACCGGAGUGGACGCAUCACUGGUGUUCGGGUUGUCAUGCCAAUGGCAUUGCCCGGUAGCUAAAUGCGGAAGAGAUAAGUGCUGAAAGCAUCUAAGCACGAAACUUGCCCCGAGAUGAGUUCUCCCUGACUCCUUGAGAGUCCUGAAGGAACGUUGAAGACGACGACGUUGAUAGGUCGGGUGUGUAAGUGUAGCGAUACAUUGAGCUAACCGAUACUAAUGAACCGUGAGGCUUAACCU
rnacentral:rRNA from 1 species